rnacentral:rRNA from 1 species
UACGUAGGGGGCUAGCGUUGCUCGGAAUCACUGGGCGUAAAGCGCACGUAGGCGGAUUGUUAAGUCAGGGGUGAAAUCCUGGAGCUCAACUCCAGAACUGCCUUUGAUACUGGCGAUCUUGAGUCCGGGAGAGGUGAGUGGAACUCCGAGUGUAGAGGUGAAAUUCGUAGAUAUUCGGAAGAACACCAGUGGCGAAGGCGGCUCACUGGCCCGGUACUGACGCUGAUGUGCGAAAGCGUGGGGAGCAAACAGG